rnacentral:rRNA from 1 species
AUUGAACGCUGGCGGCAGGCCUAACACAUGCAAGUCGAGCGAGCGGCGGACGGGUGAGUAAUGUAUGGGGACUGCCCGAUAGAGGGGGAUAACUACUGGAAACGGUGGCUAAUACCGCAUACUAUCGGAUAACCCAUAUGGGAUUAGCUAGUUGGUGGGGUAAAGGCUCACCAGGGCGACGAACCGUAGCUGGUCUGAGAGGAUGAACCGCCACACUGGGACUGAGACACGGCCCAGACUCCUACGGAGGCAGCAGUGGGGAAUAUUGCACAAUGGGCGCAAGCCUGAUGCAGCCAUCCCGCGUGUAUGAAGAAGGCCUUAGGGUUGUAAAGUACUUUCAGCGGGGAGGCGUUACCCGCAGAAGAAGCACCGGCUAACUCCGUGCCAGCAGCCGCGGUAAUAC